rnacentral:rRNA from 1 species
GGUGAACGCUGGCGGUGGGCCUAACACAUGCAAGUCGAGCGGCAGCACAGGAAGAGCUUGCUCUUGCUGUUGGCGAGGGGCGGGCGGGUGAGGAGUACAUCGGAAUCUACUUUUUCUGGGGGGAUAACGUAGGGCAAGUUACGCUAAUACCGCAUACGACCUACGGGUUAAAGCAGGGGAGCUUCGGACCUUUCGCGAUUGAUUGAGCCGAUGUCGGAUUAGCUAGUUGGCGUGGUAAAGGCCCACCAAGGCAACGAUCCGUAGCUGGUCUGAGAGGAUGAUCAGCCACACUGGAACUGAGACACGGUCCAGACUCCUACGGGAGGCAGCAGUGGGGAAUAUUGGACAAUGGGCGCAAGCCUGACCCAGCCAUGCCGCGUGAGUGAAGAAGGCCUUCGGGUUGUAAAGCUCUUUUGUUGGGAAAGAAAAGCAGCAGGUUAAUACCCCGCUGUUCUGACGGUACCCAAAGAAUAAGCACCGGCUAACUUCGUG